rnacentral:rRNA from 1 species
GACGAACGCUGGCGGCGUGCCUAAUACAUGCAAGUAGGACGCAGUUGCGAACGGGUGAGUAACGCGUAGGUAACUACCUAUAAGAGGGGGGUAACUAUUGGAAACGAUAGCUAAUACCGCAUACUAGUAGAUGGCCCUGCGGGGUAUUAGCUAGUAGGUAGGGUAAUGGCCUACCUAGGCAACGAGAGAUAGACGAGCUGGGAGGGGGGACGGCCAAACGUGGACUGAGACAAGGCCGAGACUUCUACGGGUAGCAGCAGUAGUGAAACUGCGGCAAUGGGGGGAACCCUGACCGAGGAACGCCGGGUGAGUGAAGAAGGUUUUCGGAUUGUAAAGCUCUGUUGUUAAGGGAGCGGUACGUAACCAGAAAGUGACGGCUAAUUACGUGCCAGCAGCCGCGGUAAUAC